AUAGAAAUGAUUAAUCAAAAAUUUCUAUGGAAUUCUGAAAGAUGUAAAAAUUUUUUUUAUCGAAUCAUAUCAU
rnacentral:tRNA from 1 species